ensembl:ncRNA mir-133 mir-133 stem loop
ACCUGCAACACUGUGUGUAGCUGGUUGACAUCGGGUCAGAUCUGUUUUUCAAGCAUUUGGUCCCCUUCAACCAGCUGUAGCCAGUGGUUGAUGACAAC